GUGCUCGCUUCUGUAGCACAUAUACUAAAAUUGGAAUGAUACAGAGUAGAUUAACAUGGCCCCUGUGCAAGGAUGACACACAAAUUCAUGAAGCGUUUCAUAUUAAA
rnacentral:snRNA from 1 species